CCUACGUGAGGCAGCAGUGGGGGAUAUUGCACAAUGGGGGGAACCCUGAUGCAGCGACGCCGCGUGGGUGAAGAAGCGCCUCGGCGCGUAAAGCCCUGUCAGCAGGGAAGAAAAUGACGGUACCUGAAGAAGAAGCCCCGGCUAACUACGUGCCAGCAGCCGCGGUAAUACGUAGGGGGCAAGCGUUAUACGGACUUACUGGGUGUAAAGGGGGCGCCGACGGCGGGGCAAGCCAGGAGUGAAAGCCCGGGGCCCAAACCCGGGACGUCUCGUGGAACUGCGUUGCUGGCGUGCAGGAGGGGCAGGCGGAAUUCCUGGUGUAGCGGUGCAAUGCGUAUAUAUCAGGCGGAACACCGGGUGCGAAGGCAGCCUGCUGGACUGCAACUGAGGUUGAGGCCCGAAAGCGUGGGUAACAAACAGGAUUAGAUACCCGAGUAGUC
rnacentral:rRNA from 1 species